AAGGGUAAUAAAAUUUUCGCCCUUGAGACCCCUUUAGACUAAGAGUUGUCUUGCAUCACUCCCUUCCCAUUCUUGAACAUUUUGUUGGUUGUCUUUAUAAACUGAGAGUACCUAAAUAUUAUCUUAAUCUAAUACACUGUCAAAGUUAUUCAACCCUCUAUAACAAUCAAAGACAAUGAAGCAAACUGAUAAAUGNNNNNNNNNNNNNAAAAAUACUAAUGAAACUAUGACAAUGAGACACCUGAUUACUUUAAUCUGCAAGCAUUAACUGAGGGUGAACUUAAACGAGGAGCAAAGGCCAUCACAAGCACAGCCAUCUAAAAUAUCACUGUAGUGUUGAAUACACUUCAAUCAUCAAUAUUUGUAGAUCAAAUCUAAGCUUUUUGUUUGGCUCGUUUCAUUAGCUCUAUGAAUUCCCCAAAAACAGUAUCUGAAUCGUGAGGCCCUGGGGAUGCCUCAGGAUGGUACUGAAGAGACAUGAUGUUUAGUUGAGCAUAAGCAAGACCUGCACAGCUUCCAUCAUUGAGAUUGAUGUGAGUCACUUCCACACCCUCAGGAAGUGAUGCAGGAUCAACUGCAUAGUUGUGAUUCUG
rnacentral:misc_RNA from 1 species